rnacentral:rRNA from 1 species
CAACUUUCAACAACGGAUCUCUUGGCUCUCGCAUCGAUGAAGAACGCAGCGAAAUGCGAUAAGUAAUGUGAAUUGCAGAUUUUCAGUGAAUCAUCGAAUCUUUGAACGCACCUUGCGCUCCUUGGUAUUCUGAGGAGCAUGCCUGUUUGAGUGUCAU